rnacentral:rRNA from 1 species
UUAUACUAAGGAGAGUUUGAUCCUGGCUCAGGAUGAACGCUGGCGGCAGGCUUAAUACAUGCAAGUUGAACGGUAACAUUUUGUAGCAAUACAGAGAUGACGAGUAGCGUACGGGUGCGUAACACGUGUGCAACCUACCUUAUACAGGAACAAAACGUUGAGAAAUUAGCGCUAAUAUUCCAUAAUAUUAUUGAUAGGCAUCUAUUUAUAAUUAAAGCUCAGGUGGUAUAAGAUGGGCACGCGUUCCAUUAGCUAGUUGGUAAGGUAACGGCUUACCAAGGCAACGAUGGAUAGGGGUUCUGAGAGGAUACACCCCCACACUGGAACUGAGACACGGUCCAGACUCCUACGGGAGGCAGCAGUAAGGAAUAUUGGGCAAUGGAGGCAACUCUGACCCAGCCAUGCCGCGU